ACAGGAAUUGGGCGCCAUUUAUCUUCUGCCGUUUCUGCACCAUGGAAGCCAUCUCCAUUGCCUCUCUCUCUAGAAAUCCCUAUCCUUGUACAAUUCCACACACUCUCUUUUAUCUCUUCAUUCUAUCGUCAAUGGCCCAUCUGCAUCUGGACCAAAAUUUAUGUUGGAGGAAAACACCACCAAAACCCACACAUAUUAUAAAUGGAAAGUUUUACGUUAUUAGGAAAUCAAUAGUGGAGGAUAUUCAUAUACAUAUGAUAUACACAACAUGUCUUCUUGCACCCAACCACAUAUACCCUCUCCUCCUCCUUCCUCUCUCUCACUAAAACCUUCUACAGAGACAAACAGACUACUCCUUCCACUCCCAACUUGUUCUCUGCAUGAGUUCAUGUGUGUGCUGUGUUGAAUAUACAUAAUUUGGGCCUUCGGAAUUCUGCGGAGAAACGGAUUAAUUGAAGCGGAAUUAUGAAGCGGGCUUCUGUUAAUUUUGAUCAAUCACAUUCCGCCGUUGAUGAAGCUAAGGAAAAGUUCAAAUAUCAAACGCUUUUGAGAGAAUAUCUGGAACUGCAAAAGGAAUAUGUUUCUAGGAAGAGAAAAUUGCAGGCUGCAAAGCAAAAGAGAGAAUUAACAUUAUCUGAAGUUAGAUUUUUGAGAAGGAAGCAUAGAUAUUUAUUGAAAAGCCAAGCUCCCAAUGAAACAAGAAAAGCAUCUACAUUGCAGGAAUGGAAGAAAUCCCAGCACCAUUGAUCAUCUCCAGCUCACAAAUUCGCUACCGGUAGAUAUAAUGAAAGAUGACGAGGCAGAAGAGGAUGUAAGAUGCAAGAAAAAGAAAAAGAUAAAGAAUCACUUGAUUCAAGAUAAAGUUGAGGGCAAAAGGAAGACCAGUUGGCCUGAUCAAGUCACUUUGAAUGUCUAGUUCAGUUGCGCUGCACUCUGAUCAACAAAUUUUUGGCAAAAGAUUUGAGUAUUUCAAGUUUUAGGUAAUUUUUUAUGUUAUUUAAUUUGUAUUUAGUAACCCAUUGUAUUACUAAAGUUACAAAAACUAAAGCCGUUUGUUUUAUUAUGUUUGUUUAUUACCUUGAAGAUAUAAAUAUAUAAACUUAUUGUAUGUUUUACACCAA